rnacentral:rRNA from 1 species
AACGCUAGCUACAGGCUUAACACAUGCAAGUCGAGGGGCAGCAUGCCGGUUGCUUGCAACCGGUGAUGGCGACCGGCGCACGGGUGAGUAACGCGUAUCCAACCUUCCCGCGACCAAGGGAUAACCUGCCGAAAGGCAGACUAAUACCUUAUGUCCUCCUUUGAAGGCAUCUGACGAGGAGCAAAGAUCCGUCGGUCACGGAUGGGGAUGCGUCCGAUUAGCUUGUUGGCGGGGCAACGGCCCACCAAGGCGACGAUCAGUAGGGGUUCUGAGAGGAAGGUCCCCCACAUUGGAACUGAGACACGGUCCAAACUCCUACGGGAGGCAGCAGUGAGGAAUAUUGGUCAAUGGGCGAGAGCCUGAACCAGCCAAGUAGCGUGCAGGAUGACGGCCCUAUGGGUUGUAAACUGCUUUUAUAAGGGAAUAAAGUGAGAGUCGUGACUCUUUUUGCAUGUACCUUAUGAAUAAGGACCGGCUAAUUCCGUGCCAGCAGCCGCGGUAAUACGGAAGGUCCGGGCGUUAUCCGGAUUUAUUGGGUUUAAAGGGAGCGUAGGCCGCAAGUCAAGCGUGUUGUGAAAUGCAGGGGCUCAACCUCUGGAUUGCAGCGCGAACUGGCAGACUUGAGUGUGCGCAACGUAGGCGGAAUUCGUGGUGUAGCGGUGAAAUGCUUAGAUAUCACGAAGAACUCCGAUUG